rnacentral:rRNA from 1 species
ACUCCUACGGGAGGCAGCAGUGGGGAAUUUUGGACAAUGGGGGCAACCCUGAUCCAGCCAUGCCGCGUGAGUGAAGAAGGCCUUCGGGUUGUAAAGCUCUUUCGGCGGGGAAGAAAUGGCAACGGCUAAUAUCCGUUGUUGAUGACGGUACCCGCAUAAGAAGCACCGGCUAACUACGUGCCAGCAGCCGCGGUAAUACGUAGGGUGCGAGCGUUAAUCGGAAUUACUGGGCGUAAAGCGUGCGCAGGCGGUUUCGUAAGACAGACGUGAAAUCCCCGGGCUCAACCUGGGAACUGCGUUUGUGACUGCGAGGCUAGAGUACGGCAGAGGGGGGUAGAAUUCCACGUGUAGCAGUGAAAUGCGUAGAGAUGUGGAGGAAUACCGAUGGCGAAGGCAGCCCCCUGGGUUAGUACUGACGCUCAUGCACGAAAGCGUGGGGAGCAAACAGGAUUAGAUACCCUGGUAGUCCACGCCCUAAACGAUGUCAACUAGGUGUUGGAAGGGUUAAACCUUUUAGUACCGCAGCUAACGCGUGAAGUUGACCGCCUGGGGAGUACGGCCGCAAGGUUAAAACUCAAAGGAAUUGACGGA